rnacentral:rRNA from 1 species
GAGAGCUUGCUCUUGAUGACGAGUGGCGCACGGGUGCGUAACGCGUAUGCAAUCUACCCUUUACUGGAGAAUAGCCCUUGGAAACGAGGAAUAAUACUCCAUAGUAUAACAAUUUCGCAUGUUAUUGUUAUUAAAGCUUCGGCGGUAAAGGAUGAGCAUGCGUCCCAUUAGUUAGUUGGUAAGGUAACGGCUUACCAAGACAUCGAUGGGUAGGGGGCCUGAGAGGGUUAUCCCCCACACUGGUACUGAGACACGGACCAGACUCCUACGGGAGGCAGCAGUGAGGAAUAUUGGUCAAUGGACGAAAGUCUGAACCAGCCAUGCCGCGUGCAGGAUGACUGCCCUAUGGGUUGUAAACUGCUUUUAUAUAGGAAGAAACCCUCGAACGUGUUCGAGGCUGACGGUACUAUAAGAAUAAGGACCGGCUAACUCCGUGCCAGCAGCCGCGGUAAUACGGAGGGUCCAAGCGUUAUCCGGAUUUAUUGGGUUUAAAGGGUACGUAGGCGGAGUUUUAAGUCAGUAGUGAAAGCCCAUCGCUUAACGAUGGAAUUGCUAUUGAUACUGAUACUCUUGAAUAUAGUUGAAGUGGGCGGAAUACGGCAUGUAGCGU